GUUAGGGCACGACACCGGAGAGGGAGCCUGAGAACGGCUACCACAUCCAAGSAUGGCAGCAGGCGCGCAAAUUACCCAAUCCCGACACGGGGAGGUAGUGACAAUAAAUAACAAUACGGGGUUCUUUCGGAUCUCGUAAUUGGAAUGAGUACAAUUUAAAUCUCUUAACGAGGAACAAUUGGAGGGCAAGUCUGGUGCCAGCAGCCGCGGUAAUUCCNNNNUCCAAUAGCGUAUAUUAAAGUUGUUGCAGUUAAAAAGCUCGUAGUUGAAUUUCGGGAUCGAAUUGUUGGUCGUGCCUCGGUACGCACUGGCAUUAUCGGUUCCUACCUUCUGAAGAACCGCGAUGUCAUUAAUUUGGUGUCGUGGGGAAUCAGGACUGUUACUUUGAAAAAAUUAGAGUGUUUAAAGCAGGCUUACGCUUGAAUACAUUAGCAUGGAAUAAUGAAAUAGGACGUUUGAUUCUAUUUUGUUGGUUUCUAGGAUCGACGUAAUGAUUAAUAGGGAUAGUUGGGGGCAUUAGUAUUCAAUUGUCAGANGUGAAAUUCUUGGAUUUAUUGAAGACUAACUACUGCGAAAGCAUUUGCCAAGGAUGUUUUCAUUAAUCAAGAACGAAAGUUAGGGGAUCGAAGACGAUCAGAUACCGUCGUANUCUUAACCAUAAACUAUGCCGACUAGGGAUCGGAUGAUGUUAAUUUUAUAUGACUC
rnacentral:rRNA from 1 species